UACAGAGGUCCCGAGCGCUGUUCGGAUUUACUGGGCGUAAAGCGCACGUAGGCGGAUUGUUAAGUGAGGGGUGAAAUCCCAGGGCUCAACCCUGGAACUGCCUUUCAUACUGGCAAUCUCGAGUCCGGAAGAGGUGAGUGGAACUCCUAGUGUAGAGGUGGAAUUCGUAGAUAUUAGGAAGAACACCAGUGGCGAAGGCGGCUCACUGGUCCGGUACUGACGCUGAGGUGCGAAAGCGUGGGGAGCAAACAGG
rnacentral:rRNA from 1 species